GAUGAACGCUGGCGGCGUGCCUAAUACAUGCAAGUCGAGCGAACAGACGAGGAGCUUGCUCCUCUGACGUUAGCGGCGGACGGGUGAGUAACACGUGGAUAACCUACCUAUAAGACUGGGAUAACUUCGGGAAACCGGAGCUAAUACCGGAUAAUAUAUUGAACCGCAUGGUUCAAUAGUGAAAGACGGUUUUGCUGUCACUUAUAGAUGGAUCCGCGCCGCAUUAGCUAGUUGGUAAGGUAACGGCUUACCAAGGCAACGAUGCGUAGCCGACCUGAGAGGGUGAUCCGCCACACUGGAACUGAGACACGGUCCAGACUCCUACGGGAGGCAGCAGUAGGGAAUCUUCCGCAAUGGGCGAAAGCCUGACGGAGCAACGCCGCGUGAGUGAUGAAGGUCUUCGGAUCGUAAAACUCUGUUAAUAGGGAAGAACAAAUGUGUAAGUAACUAUGCACGUCUUGACGGUACCUAAUCAGAAAGCCACGGCUAACUUCGUG
rnacentral:rRNA from 1 species